rnacentral:lncRNA from 1 species
CACCGUGCCAAUGAAGUGAGAGUCAUUCGGGGAAUGAGGGAUGUAAUUAGUCCAACAGCAAAAGUCUAUGUGUAUGAUGGGCUUUAUAGGAUCCAGGAGUCGUGGGUUGACAAGGGGAAGUCUGGUUGCAAUAUAUUCAAGUAUAAGUUGGUUAGAGUGCCUGGGCAGCCAGGUGCUUUUGCUGUUUGGAAAUCAAUUCAGCAGUGGAGAGAAGGGUUCUCUACAAGGGUUGGACUAAUUCUUCCGGACCUCACUUCAGGGAGUGAAAGUAUACCUGUUUCGCUUGUAAAUGAUGUGGAUGAAGAGAAGGGACCUGCUUACUUCACCUAUUUCUCUACUGUCAAGUAUAUUAAAUCAUUUAAAUUGACAGAGCCAUCUUAUGGAUGCAACUGCCGUAGUGCAUGCUCUCCAGGUGAUCUA